CCUACGGGGGGCUGCAGUGGGGAAUAUUGGACAAUGGGGGGAACCCUGAUCCAGCCAUGCCGCGUGUGUGAAGAAGGCCCUCGGGUUGUAAAGCACUUUCAGUGAGGAAGAACGCCUGGUGGUUAAUACCCAUCAGGAAAGACAUCACUCACAGAAGAAGCACCGGCUAACUCCGUGCCAGCAGCCGCGGUAAUACGGAGGGUGCGAGCGUUAAUCGGAAUUACUGGGCGUAAAGCGCGCGUAGGUGGCUUGAUAAGCCGGUUGUGAAAGCCCCGGGCUCAACCUGGGAACGGCAUCCGGAACUGUCAAGCUAGAGUGCAGGAGAGGAAGGUAGAAUUCCCGGUGUAGCGGUGAAAUGCGUAGAGAUCGGGAGGAAUACCAGUGGCGAAGGCGGCCUUCUGGACUGACACUGACACUGAGGUGCGAAAGCGUGGGUAGCAAACAGGAUUAGAUCCCUUGUAGUC
rnacentral:rRNA from 1 species